GGCCGGGUCGCUGCUGUCCACCACGAACACCAGAGCCUGGCAGUCGUCAAGGUAGUACCUGGAGGAGAGGGACAGGUUAGUUAGGUAGUUAGUUAGUCAGGUAGUUAGUUGGUUAGUUUAGGGUUUACCUCCAGUUGUCUCUCAUGCUCUUCUGUCCUCCGACGUCCCAAACAGUCAGAGACGUCUUCUUGUCCAGAUUCAGAGUUCCCACGUUGAACCCGAUGGUCGGAGACGU